AUGCCUCACACUAUUUGCACCAAUGAUUCCAUCGUCUGCUUCUGUUAUUGUUGUCCGCGAAACCGGCCCUGUUAUAACAUUUUAGCAUUCUAGUUUGUCUUGAAGCUAUUUGCUGGAAAGCACUACUUUUGGAACGCCGUUCCACAAUGCAUUUCAAGACAGCAGGGUUAUCCUUACACGACGCUUGGUCGCCUUUUAAAUACAAGCUUCGUGAACGCAAUAAGGCAAUAUAGGCGUAUACAUGUCAGCAUGUUGAUCAAAAGUUAUAAUUUUUUGAAGGGAUUUUCCAUGUCAUUCAGUUAUUGAGUGUUUCUAUUCAAUUGGGUUGUCUGAGGGUUGGUACUGUGACUCGCACACUGUCGUUUUCGCGCGGACUUGCUCUUGCUCGUGGUUCUAUCUCCGGAUUUCUGUGUGUGUUUCUGGCCAUUCAAGUAACAUCAAAUCAAUUAAUGACGAAUGGAGGAUCAAAAAGAGAACCCUCCAAUUCUGGAAGUGGGGCAAGAGUAUGAAUCUAUUAAACAGUUUGAGGCUUCUCUUAGGAAGUAUGAAGCUACUAACUUCUGUCUGUACAACAGACGAAGAAGUACGCCAUAUGAAGCAGAUGAGAAGUUGGCAUUUUCUUUUAUUCGAUAUGAGUGCAUACACUUUGGGGCCAAGAGGCCUAACCCCAAUUUAACUGGGGAUAGACCUAUGCAAAAAUCAUACAAGAUUGGUUGCAAGUCGUACCUAGAAUUGAAGCUCAUUAAAACAGGAAAAUGUCUUGUCGUAGAUGUUUUUCAUAUUGUGCACAACCAUCCGUGCACUAAAGUUACCUAUGAUGGAUAUCCUAAGGUCCGCAAGAUGCAAAUGGCCACAAUCAAGUGUGUUCAGGACUUCAACAAAGUGAAAGCCAAGCCUCUGCUGAUCAAGCCUUUGAUCAAAGCAAGGGAAGGAGACAAAAUUGUUUUAAGCAGAGACAUCAGCAAUGUUCGGACCAAUCAAAUUAGAAACGACCGCAAGGGUCGCAGUGAGGAGGAAAUGCUCCUUGCUAAAUUGCAAGAAAUUAAAGACAAAGACCCUGAGGCUUCCACGGUGUUGGACUACAACAAGGAUACUAAGAAAGUUAAUUUCUUAUUGAUUCAGACCUCAGAGAUGAGAAAAGCUCUUCACAAAUUUCCUGAAGUCAUUCUCAUGGACAUUUCAUACAAAAUAAACAAAAACAUGAUGCCUGUAAGUGUAAUUCAGGUAAUGAAUGGUGAAGGGAAAGGCGAGGCAGUAUGCUAUGCUUUCCUUGCCAACGAGAGGAAAGAAACGCUGACAAACAUGCUGCUUGCCUUUUGCGUCCAAAGUGGUCAAGAGAUCUUUGAAAAGACAAAUUGCAUAGUUGUGGACAAGGAUUUCUCUGAAAUUGGGGCCAUUAGAGCUGUGAUGCCAAACGCAAAAGUGCACAUCUGCAGCGUACAUGUUGAAAAGAAUAUGAAGAAAGCUGCUAAAGGAGACCCAAAUAAAGGAGCUGCCAUCGAAUCCUUUAAGGGCAUGAUGUAUGCGGAAGAUGAUCCUGAAUUCCAAGUCCAUUUUGUACAGUUUAACAAAGUAGCAAGCAAGACUUUGAAUCAGUAUUUUGUCAACAAUUGGCUGCUUUCAAAAGAGGCCUGGAGCCUCAAAGACCGAAUUGUGGUUAACACACUAAGAAACCACACCACCAAUAGGGUUGAGAAUGCAAAUAAGAAUCUAAAAGUGGUAAUGGAUGUGAAUACCACACUGUACGAUGCUGUGGAUGGCCUAAUUGUGUAUAUUCUGGGAAGCAGACGCGACGAUGCCAGAUACAGAGAUCAUGAGGCCCUUACUAAGAUUGUUACUAUCAACAAAUGCAGUGACCCUGUAAUUUCCCAAAUUUGUAAUGAACUGACUAUAUUUUCUGCAAAAUUGGUCUGCGAACAGUAUGAAUUGAGCAAAAAACCAUCACCAGACCCUGACCGGUAUCAAGCAACAAAAAAGUCUUGUACUUGUGCAUUUUUGAAAAUUUGGGGUAUAACUUGCCGGCACAUAAUGCGCUUCAGAAAAGAUUCAGGAAUUGCUCAGUAUGAUUUGGAGUUGAUUCCGAAGAGGUGGAGGAAGGAAUUUAAUUUGAGUCACUCAAAUGUUGCUGGUCCAGCUAGGAUCGAGGUAGCUGAAGGAAAUUCAAUACUGAAGCCAAGAAUGCCUGCCAAACGGGUUAGUGAUUUUCUCGGGCCCAGGGAAAAGUUCCUCAAAGCAGCUGAACUAACUCAGAGUAUCAAUCCCUUGCUUGUUGAUGUUGGCACAAAGAUACAUUAUGAACGUUACCAGUUACUUACUGACCUUUGUGAGGCCUGGAAAGCUGGGACGGAAGUACAAUUACUCCAUCAGAACAAACCACAUUCUCAUAAAGAUGUUAUUGAAGAUGGUGAUACCUCAGAGACAGCUCCCUUCAAGCUCAACUCUGUCAAGAUUGUAGGCCACCCUAAGGGCAUUGGUGAAACUGUACAUGAUGGUACCAAGAAAAAAGGUACAUCAAAAGCAAAAGCCAAGGUCAAAGCUCAAAUUAAUGAAGCAGGGAAAACUCAAUGCUGCUGUUCAUGUGGGCUUGAGGCUGGUGAGCACUUCUGUAUCCACUGCAAAAAAGUGGUACAUGCAAUUGAGCCAUGCUCAGUAGCUGCUCCAAAUGCUCCAGAAAACUAUGGGCAGCCAAGAAUUUGUGCUGAUUGUGGAGGACUUGAGGAUGAUGUAGCAUCAACAAAGUCAAGCAACGGGAGUGUUCUCUCAACAAUGUUAACAGUUCCAAGUGGCGUUCCAAGUGGCAACCCAAGAACCGAGUCCAAUUCUGGUUCACAAGCAGGAUCAGAUGAAGAAACACUUGAAACAAAUCAGGGUAGAACUUUGCAAAGGUAUAACUGCUGUUGUAGCUGUGGCAUGGAAAUGGAAGGGCACCAUUGCAGUUUAUGUGAUGAGUUGGUUCAUGAUGUUGAGCCUUGCUCAUACAAAGAUUUUCACCCGGAUAGGUUCAAUUCCGAGGGGCGACUUUGUGCUGGCUGUGAAGGCAGGGGUGAUUUGAAGCCAUUUACCAAAAGCCUCCCUGACAAUGUGUCUGAAAUCAUAAUCAUCAGUGACAGUGAGCCAGAAAUUGAGAACGGGAAUGACAACAAGCAGCAGGCAAUUGAAGCAGAUCUGUUUGCUGAUGAAGAAUGGUCAGGCGUGGGCUUCGAUUUAAGUGAAUUCCUUUAUCUCAAUAAAGAUGGGGAAACUGACACGGUUCAGAAUGUGUCAGAGACUGAGCCUGUUGAUGAAUCUAAUAUAGAAGCUACAAACAGUAAUCAGCAAACGAGGACUGAGGUUACAAACGGAGGCUCCACAAAUAAUCCCAGGAAUAGUGAAAAUUAUGGAGAUACUGCCUUUGUGCUCGAUGUUGUUCAAACCAAAGGGCGUCCAAAAACAACAACACGAAAAACUGUCCGAAGUUGGAACUUUACCGCUGUUGCAGACAAGCCUGAGGAUAUGUGCUGCAUUUGUGAAAAAAGUGGUGCAGCAGAGAAAUGUCAGAAGUGUCAAAGCACUGUCCACUCUUCCCUUCCUUGUUCAUUGGAUGACAAGGGUCCAGAAAAGGGGAGAAUUUGCAAUUUCUGCUGUGAUUACAGGAUUACUGAUGCUGAGAGAAAAAGCAAGGACCCCAAAAAGCCACCAUACUACUGCUUUGGAUGCAACUAUUUAAUGAAAAUGUUCAUAGCCAAGAAUCCCAAGCAACCCAGCAGGAAGGGGGCUGCAUAUUAUGGGUGCCUGAAGAAAUUAACUGAGGAGUGCAAGCCAUUUAAGUUUUGGGCAUCAAAACAGGACACUAACCAGGACAGCAAGAUGGCUCCAAAACUCAAUUUCAUACACAAGUUUGCAAAUCAUUUUUACAUGCAUUUCAAAAGUAGCUAUGAAAAAUAUUUGUUACUGUCUAUCAUAGUAAGUUUCUUUUUGAACUGAUGCAGAGGAUUUUUUCCUAUUGCUUUCCACAAUUAUGGUCCUGAAAUGAUUUGUGGUACUGCUAAAUCUCCAUUUAUUUAUACAUACAAGUAACUUCUAUAAACACAAAGCAGGGACAGGUGAUGAGUCCAGGGGUGAUUGAUUCUAAUUUGUCAUCAGUCAUCAAGUAGUCAAGUACUGGUCAUCACAGUAUCAUAGACUCUUUUGGUUUUCAUUUUUUCUAUCAUUUGCAUCUACCAUAGCCCAAAUUCUUUUUGACUGCAACUUGAUGUGUGUUAAACAUUGUCCUAAGGACAGAAGCUGAUCAUUGUCAGGGCUCUCCAAAACGGCCCUUAUGAGGGCCUAAAGAAACCUCCAUUCUUCUGGUGGUCCAUGCAAGUUCACCUUCAAAGAGGCGCGCCAAUGGUGACAAUAAUGUCAACUAUAUAACUCCAACAAAGAGAUCACGUCAUGGCAGGGUUCUCCACAAAAAAAAGGUUUUCACUCCAUAAUCUUUUAUGCUAUCUUAUUUCUUACUCUGAAAUUUUCAUAAUUUUUAUUGGUUUUCAUGUUUGUACUCUUAAUUUUUCUUUUUUUAUCACUGUAUUUAUUCUAAUACACACUUGAUAUUUAAUUCCGUACUGUUUGAAACUUUUAAAUUUUGAGGCCCGCCAAUCACUCUAAUAAGGAGAUCACGGCAUAGCAGGGCUCUCCCUCCCCCAAUUGAAAAAAAGGUUUUCACUCCAUAAUCUUUUAUGUUAUCUGAAAUUUUAAUUAUUUUUUAUUGCUUUUCAUGUUUGUACUCUAAAAUAUUUUUUUUAUCAUUGUAUUUAUUCCAAUACAUACUUAAUAUUUAAUUUUGUUGUUUUGAAUAAAAGAACUAGAUUCUUGAAAUAUUGCCAAUGUAGAACAUUUAUUGAAUACCUCGUUC